AACCAUGUGAUCUACCCAUGUCCAGGUUGAAGGUGCGGUAAAACGCACUGGAGGACCGAACCCACGUACGUUGAAAAGUGCGGGGAUGAGGUGUGGGUAGCGGAGAAAUUCCAAACGAACUUGGAGAUAGCUGGUUCUCUCCGAAAUAGCUUUAGGGCUAGCCUCGGAAUUGAGAAUGAUGGAGGUAGAGCACUGUUUGGACUAGGGGCCCAUCUCGGGUUACCGAAUUCAGAUAAACUCCGAAUGCCAUUCAUUUAUAUCCGGGAGUCAGACUGCGAGUGAUAAGAU
rnacentral:rRNA from 1 species